rnacentral:rRNA from 1 species
CCUACGGGGUGCAGCAGUGGGGAAUAUUGCACAAUGGGCGCAAGCCUGAUGCAGCCAUGCCGCGUGUGAAGAAGGCCUUCGGGUUGUAAAGCACUUUCAGCGGGGAGGAAGGCGGUGAGGUUAAUAACCUCAUCGAUUGACGUUACCCGCAGAAGAAGCACCGGCUAACUCCGUGCCAGCAGCCGCGGUAAUACGGAGGGUGCAAGCGUUAAUCGGAAUUACUGGGCGUAAAGCGCACGCAGGCGGUCUGUCAAGUCGGAUGUGAAAUCCCCGGGCUCAACCUGGGAACUGCAUUCGAAACUGGCAGGCUAGAGUCUUGUAGAGGGGGGUAGAAUUCCAGGUGUAGCGGUGAAAUGCGUAGAGAUCUGGAGGAAUACCGGUGGCGAAGGCGGCCCCCUGGACAAAGACUGACGCUCAGGUGCGAAAGCGUGGGGAGCAAACAGGAUUAGAUACCCUUGUAGUC